rnacentral:rRNA from 1 species
UACGGAGGGAGCUAGCGUUGUUCGGAAUUACUGGGCGUAAAGCGCGCGUAGGCGGCUUUGUAAGUUAGAGGUGAAAGCCCGGGGCUCAACCCCGGAACUGCCUUUAAGACUGCAUCGCUUGAAUCCGGGAGAGGUGAGUGGAAUUCCGGAGUGAUAGAGGUGAAAUUCGUAGAUAUCGGGAGGAACACCAGUGGCGAAGGCGAGUGCUCUGGGAAUGAUAGCUGACGCUGAUGACUCGAAAGGC